rnacentral:lncRNA from 1 species
UUACACUUCGACAAAUAUGUUACAAACUGUAGGGUUAGCUACAGUGGCUCGUUGGACACAGCUUUUGAGGACCAGGUGGGGAGAAGGACAAAGUAGAUCACCACAAAAUAUGGGUGGCAGGACGCUUGUAAAAUAAUAAUUACAUCAUAUAGAGAAUGGAGAAAAAGACACAGUUGUGUCAGAACGUUUUGUUUGCUGGUCUCCCGCGUGUUGGGGUGGUGGGCAUGCAAACCCAACCCCUUCUUUCUUUUAAUCAUCGUUGCACCCCAAAAAACCAUUAAGCUUUGAAUGUAAUAACGAGCCAUCAAAUAU